rnacentral:tRNA from 1 species
AAAAAAUUAGUUAAUUUAUAACAUUAAAAUGUCAUUUUAAAAUUAUUAUAUAUAAUAUUUUUUU